rnacentral:lncRNA from 1 species
CAGUCUUCUCCGCGCGACACACUCCCGUCUCGCUAUACGCUGCUUCGUAUUCUUCUAGACUUCAAUUCAGCUCAGGAGUUGUAUGACAGGAGUUCUAGUUAUUCAGCGACGGCUUGGACGACUUCGCUUCUCAUCGAGUUCCCGUUCUAGUAGGGGUCGGUGAUUCACCGUCAAUUCUCGCAGAGGUACUUUUUCUCUUGCUCUCCAGAAUCUCCAGCUAGUUUCAGAAAGAAGAGCUAUGUCGCCGUGUGUUCUGUCUCUGGCUUUUCUUUUCUGGAGACUUCCUCACAGCCAUGUCUCUCUCGUUAGACCGAGGAGAGGGUUCCAGACGACCCGAUUCUCCGUUACGUAGAGGCGUUCGUCAUUAUGGUAAUCACUCACGUUUCAUCGUUGCUGAGGUCUUAUUGACAAAGCGGAAAUGACAUAAAUGUCAACAACCACUGGUUUUACAGUUCUAGUUCAAGAACGAACGGGGAUUGAGCUGACAUGGAGGUGCUCGGAUUCCUGUCUGACCUGCUACUGCUAUCCCCAGUCGACCGCAUGGCAGGUAAAACAUUUCGCGAUACAGUGUAACGUGCUCCCUUUUCCGCUUUAACGAAAUGUACACGCAAGAAUGUAAAGAGGUCCCAGAAGACCUUCCACCGUGCAUGUUUGCAUUUACGCAAAAAAGACUGACAGUUUAUGUGCAAACCUGCAACUGGAUCCCCUGUACAAACCCACGAGUUCCGAACCCUCAACAGAGCUUGUGUGUACAAAGUUGAAAAACUGUAGAUGGACCCCAGGUGACUCAGACUUUCGCUGCUGCAUUGAUACGGG